CUCCCCCUCCUCCUCCUUUUCUUUCUCCUUGUCAUCAUCAUCUUCUUCUUCCUAGCCUUUGGUCCCUUUCUCUUGUCCCCUUCCAUAUUAAGCACUUCUUUUUUUUUUUUUUUUUCUUUUUUUUUCCGGAGCUGGGGACCGAACCCAGGGCCUUGCGCUCGCUGAGCUAAAUCCCCAGCCCCCAUAUUAAGCACUUCUAAAAUCGGCAGUGCCUAACUUCUUUCUUUUAGCUAUCCCAGACACCGUCUCUGUCCAUCCCCACAGAUGUCCUCUGCAGAACAGGACACUGUGGCGCUCACCGCCUCUGUCUCUAUGUGGGACUCCCUGUCUGUCCUGUCCUUCUUCCUGCCCAUCUGAUCUUCCCAAAGGACAAGCAUUUAUCAUCCCCUCUCAAAACCUCCUGUAGGAUACAGUCCAAGUUCUUUGCUUUGGCACCGGAGGUCCUCUGUUCCUCUCUAGCCCCAGCAGUGCUCGGUGCAGGCAAAAGACUCCACAGCAGCCUCCACAGAGGCCACACCCUCAUGUCCUGUACCUGCUCAGACUGCCUCCCUGAGGCUGCUCUUCCUUUUCUUCUGGAUGGUAGCUGGUCCCUUGGGUGCAACACAAGUGCCUCUUCCACACAAGCCUCUGGAUCCUCUGAGGAGAGGCCAAAGUUUCUCUCCUGGAAUCUCCCCAGAAUCCUCUUGGUGCCUCCUGCCUAAGCCCUCUGAGCUGUAGCCCCCUGUCUUAAGUCUAGGACAGGAAAGUGUAGAAGAUGGAGAGCCAAGCUCCUGCCUGUAGGGUGAGUAGCCUUGCCUUCAUAGCUUCAGCACUGCAUCAUCAGACUUGGAAGAUUGGGAGCAGGCAAACAGAGGAAAGGGAGUGAGGUGUGUAUAUGUGUGCACAUGCGUAUAGGUAUGCACACAUGCAGAUGUGUGGUCAUAUGCCUUGGAAGUGCUCCUUUUCCUUAGCAGAAGCAUCAUUAUUUCAAGUGCAACUCAAUAAACAAACUCUACCUUUUUCUUCCCUCCGUUGCCUGCCUCUGUUCCCACCUGGUUGCGUCCUGGCCCAUUCCCAUAGCAACCCUCAAUCCCCACUAAGCCUCCAGGGGCCUGUCUGAGAAGGAGGGGAACGCACAUAAAAGACUGUACUGUUUUGCUUUUGCAGUCAUGUCUGCUGUCCUCCUGUUCCUGCAGCUUCCCGAGGCUUUGAGAGAUCCAACCUCUGAAGAUGAAUCGAAGACCAGUCCUUCUGCAUCACAUGCCACUCAGGACUGCUCUCACAGAGCCCGGAUGUAGUCAGCCUUGCCCAGCAGCCUCCAGGAGUUCCUGUGCACCCUAUUUUUCUCAAUACCACAGGAUUUCAGAUGAGGAAUCACAAGCCUGAUUGACCUGUAAUUUUCAAUGCUACCCUUUUAGUAUCACUAAAGGUCUGAACUGGAACAUAUCAAGAAGACACACGAGAAGGUCAAGGUGAUGGAGCUCUUGGCUGGUUAUCCACCUCACAAAGAGCCAAUCAGCAAAGCUUGAAUGACCUGUGUUUUCAUCUCUGACUCCUCUGCUCGGAGGCAUCAGUAAGUAGGUAGGUCCCAACUUCCCCAGGAAGUGAAGCUGUUCAUACUCACAAAGCAUAUUCUGUGAAGCCCCUGGAUCUGUAGCGUGAGUCAGGCCCACCACGUGACAAAGCCUCUGAUGGAGGCUGGGCGCCUUAAUGAAGAAAUAAUUAGUUCUAAGGCAUCACUUGAUGUAGAAGCCAGCUAAUGCCUUUUUAAUUGCUUCUGGUCUUGCAUCUUUAACAACCUCAUCUCCUCGACAACGUGGAAUCACUGUCACCUGCAGCCACAGCAUGGCUCUCAGGGAGCCACAGAUUCUAACCCCAGAGUAGCAGGGUAAAGGUCUCCAGCUUGGGUUAGCACACUGGGUGGUCCUCAAGCCACUCGAAUCUGAAGGGAUAGAAUGGCUAACCCUGAGCUCUCAGGAUUAGUACACAAGUGAGACUUUCCACAGCCUUGAAAACCCAAGGAUGCAAAGGAGGCAGGGCCAGUAGGGGUCAGACCUAAGGGAAUGAGAGCAGAAACAAAGGACUCGGAGAGGGGGAGGGGCCUCUCCCGGCUCGGUAGCUGAGAGAAAACCCCAUCUCUCGCUCUACUUUUAGCCAUUGAGCUCUAUGAAGCAAGACACGUUUUUACCUUUUUCAAAUGCUUUAGGUAUGACGUUUUAUUCUCCCGGGUGACUCAGACAAGAAGCUGGGGAAGUCAGCCCACUCCACAGGGUAGUGUGCACAGAAAGGGAUUGGCUUGGGACUGGCAGCAGAGGACGGUUGUGACUUGAAUCUGAAGUGACCCCUAAAAGGCCCAUGUGUUGAUUUUUGAUCUGGUGCCACUACUGAGAGGUGACUGGACAGGAGGACAAGAAUCUCUUCAAUGAGUCAAUUCACUGACCAAUCCAAAUGAAGUAUGCUUUUGGGAGGAGGACCUGAUUCAGGCAGAUAGGUUGCUGGAGAGUGUUGCUUGAAGAUGUUUCUAGAACCCUCUCUCUGACUUCUCUCUUGGGAGACCCUCUCCUUUUAUCACCCCUUUUCAGGAUCCUCUCUCAUCUCUCUCUCUCUCUCUGUCUCUCUCUGUCUCUCUCUCUCUGUCUCUCUCUCUCUCUCUCUCUGUCUCUCUCUCUGUCUCUCUCUGUCUCUCUCUUUCUCUCUCUCUCUCUCACACACACACACACACACACACACACACACACACACACACACACACACACACACACAGAGGAGCGCUCUCUGCUUCCUGCUGCUGUGAGGUAAGCCCUCUCCUCCGCCAUCUCCCUUCAGCAUAGCUCUGCUUUUACACAGGCUGGAAAGGAAUGCAGCCAGCUGACCCUGCACAGACACCCCUGUUAACCGAGAGCCAAAAACCAAACCUUUCCCUCUGUAAGUUGUUUGCCUCAGGCAUUUUGUCACAGUGGCAAAAGCUAAUUAACAGAAGAGAGCAAGGCCUGGGGGCUGAGCACUAUACAUCCAUGGGUCAAGAUCAUCGUUAAAGGAGAGACUGCAGAGGAGGGGUUCCCUUUCUCUAUUUCUAUGGGGUUUCAGCAAAAUCUUUUAAGAACGCUAAUUUUGUGAUAAUUCUUAAGAAUGCUAAUUUUGUGAUAAUUUCAUUAAGAGAUCGCAGAACCAGUGUCCUGAAGCCUGCUGUCUUUCACACAUUCAUUUGCUCACUUAUUCGGUGAACAUGCACUCUGGGUCCCAGCACAGAACCCAAUAAAGCACAUGGGAAGUAGUAUUUGGGGGGAGUAAAUGGAUUAUGGAUGCUGUGGUCAUUUAACCUGCCUUUCUCACAUCUUAUCUUGUCGAUGUCUUUCAGAUCAGUACAGAAGACUGUCCCUAAGGGGCUGGGCAUGUAGCUUAGUGGUUAGAGUCCUUGCCUAGCAUUUGUGGGGCUGUGUGUUCGAUUCUCAGCACCACAAUAAUCAGGUAUGGAUGCACACGGCUGUACUCCUGGGACCUUGGAGGUAGGAGGAUCACACGUCAAGGCCAUCCUCAGCUACACAGUGAGUUUGAGGCUAGCCUGGGCUAUGUGAGGCUACAUAAAAUACAAAAGACUAUCCCUGAGGGGAGGGUCUAUGAUCUGUGUCCAUUAUCUGUGCCCCAGCACAGUGGUCCUCAAUAAAUGCUUUUUAUGUAAACGAAUGCUUUUAUAUGUUUCCCUAGUGGGUAUUUGGCCAGAGAACAAGCUCGUCACACAGUCCUGCUGUGAUGUGGCCAUGUCAAACUUCCCAUGUCUUAAUUUCUUUAGCUCUAAAUAGAGAUAACAACACAUAUCCCACAGAGCUGACAGGAGGAUUAACUGGAAGGAAGCCUUUAAGCACUCUGUGUGUGUCUGGUACCCAGGGAAUGAUCAUGAUGGGCAUUUGUACUGUCUCCAGUGCCUCUGCGUCCAUUCUCUGGAUAUAGGCAUGUGCUUUCCCCGCGAUUCACUUCAGUGUGCUUGUGGGUGAGGAGCCGACGAGUCACGGAGCAUGUGGGUUUAAAUUUCAGAACUGGCAACAGGUCGCAUUUUAAAAAGCUGGUACAGAUUAUGCAUAUGCAUCCUGGUGGAUCACAGGCCUUAACUUAAGGAUGUCUUGCAUUUCUCAAGCCUUUGCUCUUGAGGGAGGGUGAGUGACUUGUUAUCUUGUGUAACCCAAGAGAAAGUUCUCCAUCCCACCCUGCCCUGUGGCCCAGCAUGAAACAGCUCUGUUGGAAAAUCCUAGACAUGGUGCCUAAUGUAAUCAAAGAGGCUUUAGUUGUGUCUCUCAAAGAGCAUUACUGAGGCAUUACUCAGAACUUCAAAGGCUGCUUCUCAAGCAUUUUCUUUUCUUCUUGUGUUCUAUGUCCCUGCAGACAGAGGGGCCCCAGGGGGUGGGUUGGGGGUGAGUCACAAGCCCAAAGGCUGGUUCUCACUACCUGUGAUCCCUGUAGUGAAGUGUUCAUCUUUGAUUUGCACAAAGCCCUCUCCACAUCUGCUGGGAGUAGGCCAAGUCAGUGUUGUGUUGGGCGAAGGCCCCUGUCCUUGACUGCAUCCCCAGAAGUUGGGGUCCAGCAAUCGGGGGAUCUCCAGAGAGUGCAAAACGCCUGCAGAUGGCUACCCUUCAAAUGCUAACUCACCUUCAUUCUUGCUUCCAGCCUUUAGAUCCUAGGGGUAUCUGUAUAUGGAGAGUGAUGUAGUUACUAUGGAAACCUAGGCUACAAAAAAUUAUGUUAGUGAGUUGUGGCCAGCAUCUUUUAAAAAAUGAAAGAGACUAGAUCAGAAUAUAAACUAUGAGAAUGGAUUGCAAGUGGAAAGGGUAAACAUUUUUUCUAAUAAAAUGGCUCUCUCUAGUGAGCACGCGCACACACACACACACACACACACACACACACACACACACACACACAAACGCUCAUGCUGGGAGUGUGUUUCUCUAUUUACUCCAGGAGAAGCUGAACUUGAAUGAAUGUGUGCUCCUGGUAUAUGGCUGAGAGCUUAAGGUUUUGGCAUGAGACUUGCCUAUUGACCUCCAAUCAUGCUUCCUCCUGCAGAUGCCAAUCCUCAUAGCAGUGACUUAUUUCAGUUUCUCCCUUUCCAUGUAGCUGGUUGAACCAUGCCAUGUACUUGUUGUAAUAGCCAGGACCCCUCUUGCCUGUGGCCAGUGGUCUCAGUUCCCCAGCCUGGCAGCUGGGCCCCAUCUGUGGGCUUCACAACACACUCUUGCUCUGGUCUCAGCUGCCCCGAGUUUAGAGGUUUCCUUGAGCUGUGUUGUGAAACCUUCUGUCCACACCUCAGAUCCCAUUGUGGAUUACAAGUCCUUCUGUCCUGCUGACUGCUUCCCUGCCAUCCCUUCAGGAGGAGCCUCCCUCCCUCAGAGCGUCCUCCCACCUUCUGCAAGCAGCUGGCCUUACUAUGUCUGGGGACUCUCCCAUUUUGGGGUCAUUUCAGUGUAGUUUUGGAGAGAUGAAGAGUGAUGGUUGGUGUCAAGUCUACAGACUUGAAAGCAGAAACUAGGCAUUUUGAAGUUGAGGUACCAUUCACAUAAAAUUAAUCAUUUUCAAAUGAAUAAGGCAUUUAGUGUAUCCACACUGUUCUGCAGCCACUGCCCUAUUUGAUUUUGCACUUCCCCAAACUCCUUCCAUACAUUGGCUACCCUGGAAGAAAACCCCAGGCAUUAAGCAGAUACUGCCCACUCUGCCCUCCCAACAGUUUUUGCCCAUCAGUAAUCUGUUCUGUUUGGAUUUUUUUCUACAGGUAGAACCAUGAAGUGUGUGACCUUUUGAAUCAAGCUUCUUUCACUUAGCAUAAUGUUUUUGUGGUUGCAUUAUCUAGUUCUUGUUUAUAGCUUAAUUUUUAUUCCCUUUUAUGGCUUAAUAAGAUAUCAUUCUGCUAUUAUGCUACAACCUAUUUCUCCAUUUAUUCAUCGACAGCGUGUAUACACAUGCCACAGUGCACAUGUGAAGGUCAAAGGCCAGUUUUGUGGAGUUGGUUCUUUCCUUCCACUAGUCCUGAAGUAAAUGUUGGAGAGGUUUGAGAGUUUGAUCCAUACCAAGGAGGAGCUCAGACUCCCAGUACCUGGAGCCUUCAAAUGUAGGCUGCUCCUGUACCUGGAGUCUUCAAAUGUAGGCUGCUCCUGGUAUCCUGCAGCAUGAUACCUUCUCCAGGAAAGGGACACUCCCAGCCUAGGUGAGGGGACCAGAGGUGGAGGAAAGCUUAAGUCCAUCCACAUUUAAGGAUAAGGCUAAAGGACCAUUCAUAGUACUGGGUAACAGGCCACCAGAGAGGGCCAAACUGGGCUCUGUGAGGGUUCUGAAUCUGCUGUAGUCUCCUAUGUCCAUUGCUUUGUUACCUGCUCUGUGCUUCUCACAGAUCCUCACCAAGAUCCUUCAAAUUCCAUUGAUCCGCACCUAAGGUUUUUCAGAAUUAACCAUGGAGGCCAGUUCUUCAGUCACAACAGGCUGAGGGAGACUCUGAAAGGAUCCAGAAGUGGCUGGGACAGAUGUAAGGGACUGUAUUUCAGUUAUUCACCAACCCCUAUCUGCUGGAGUCACAUCCAAGGUGACUGAGACAGUGAGAGAACAGGAUGAAAUUAAGGAAGGAAGGAAGAAAGGGAGGGAGGGAGGGAGGGAGGAAGGAAGGAUGGGAGGAAGGAAGGAAGGAAGGAAGAAGGAAGAAGGAAAGAAGGAAGGAGAAGCAUCAGCAGCAGCCCAUAGAAGAAGCAUGAACGUCCAUGUGGGGACCCUAAGAGGUGGGAGGAUGGGUUAGAGUACUUCCCAUGAGAAGCUCCCAUGACUAUUGGCAUGAUGAGGCUGUAAACGGACUGCAGUGGAGGGAAAGUGCUGAGAUGAGUUCUUUCUGGGUGUGGACCACUGCUUGAGGCCCAUGGCUGUUUGUUAGGCUUGGGGCAAUGUGCACGGUGUGCAGAGGGGGUGGGGUGUGCUUUCAGACUGGUGUGACUGACAGAAAGAGCUCAGAGCAGUGUAGGAUGAGAAGUGGUAGAAAACAUUUCCUUUGGAAAGGAGAAGCCCCAGGCCUGAGUUUCACUUUCAUCAAGGGUUACCAUGAUGAUGGGUUCAUUUUCUGUGGUUGCCAAAGCAGUUAUCUUGAAACUUAGUUCCUUAAAACAGGGUUCUAAAGUCUGAAGUCUGUCUGGGAUGAACCAAGCAAGGUGUGGAAGCUUUGGGACGUCUGCUCCAGGCCUUCAGCAUCCUUGUCACUUGGCCUCUUGUCUUAGGGUUUGAUUGCUGUGAACAGACACCAGGAGCAAGGCAACUCUUAUAAAAGAAAACAUUUAAUUGGGGCUGGCUUACUGUUUCUGAGGUUCAGUCCAUUAUCAUCAUGGCAGGAGGCAUAGCAGCCUUAGGUAGACAUGAUGCUAGCUGGAGGAGUUGAGAGUUCUACAUCUUGAUCCAAAGGCAGCCAAAAGGAGACUAUCUUUUGCAGGCAGCCAGGAGACUGGAAUUCCACCCUGGGCAGAGCUUGGACAUAGGAGACCUCAAAGCCCACCUCCACAGUGACACACUUCCUCCGACAAGGCCACACACACUCUAACAAGACCACACCUCCUAAUAGUGCCACUCCCUGUGGGCCACCAAGUAUCCAAACAUGAGUUUAUGGUGGCCAACUCUUGUAAUAGCAUCUCAACUCUGAGUCUCCUGGUUCUUCCUUCUCCUUUACAGGGGUCUCAAGAUUACAUGGGCACUUCUGAAUCCAGAAGAACCAGUGAUUCCCUGAUUCAAGUUCCUCAACUUAAUCCAGGUGAGGUGACUUAGCUACAGUUCUUGGAUUAGGACAAGGGCCUCCUGAGAGGCUGCUCUCUGGCUUACGAUACACGCAGAGGAAUUUCUUCUGGUUUUCCAUGGAGAGGUAGACUUUUGCAGUAAGGACUAGGUAACCCUGUCUCAUAGAUAUGACUUUCUAUAGGUGAGUGGGUUUAGGAACACUCCUGCUCUCUUGGGCUCUUAAAGCAGUGGAUGAAUUUUGCUUGGAUGGUCCAGCAAGAUAUCCUGUGUGGAGUGGGAUGCUAGACUAACUAGCCUCAAUGGUCUUGUCCAAUUUUCUGUCUGUUACUUUUACAUCAGUCUUUAAGGAUGCCAUUCUGGUUAUCUGGUUCAUGACCUAGGUUAUAAUUCCACAAGGUACAGGUAUAUUUAGGAUGGCAGCCCUGGCAGUGUCCUGUCUGCUGAGGCAGCAUACCCUGCAGGCCUCUGUGGUGCUUUGCUCAGAUGAGGUAUAAGCCAGCUAUAGUUCUUGAACGUUAAUGCCACCAGGAACAGCUGAAAAGAAACGGAUGGAUAUAUAACCAAUUCCCUCAUUCUGCUGGCACAGCUCCAGCCAUAGUCUCACCAUCAUUCUGAAGCCUCGAGAACAGACUCCACCUCUCAGCUGCUGCUCCCGGAGCUACACAAUGAAUGGUGAGAGGCCUUUGUCAUGAGUUUCUUCAGGAGUCACGUACUUAUUACUGACAUUCAUCUCAUCUCGACUCUCAGAACACAGCUUGUGAACAGCAGCCUGCUUUGUUGCUCCCGGGGUUUCUUAGCCUGUCCAUCUACACUAGGAUCGGGGUGUUUGUGACCAGUAGUUCAGCUGUUGCCUGCUGCAAACCUGCCUUCUUUUCUAGCCCCAAGGAAAGCCAAGCAUAUGAGGUCAUAUGGUGGUGGGUAAGAAUGUUCCUUUUGUAACAUAACUUACUUUGUAAGUUAUGUAUAUGGCCUCAGGGUCGGUCCUAGCUUCUGGUCCAGCACUCCAGUAUUUGUGAUGUCCUGGGUAGGUGCCUGUCCCUUCUCGUUGUGGGCAUGUAGUCUUUCUCUGAUUGCAGCCUCUUUAUACCCACAGAUUCUCCCUAGUCCAGCAACUUGUUGAGUGUCUACUCUGAGUGUCCACUCUGAGGAUCUUUUGUUGUUUGGGCUCAUCUUUGGCUACCUUACAUAUCUGGCAUCAUUUCAGGCUAGGACAGAUCCUACCAACUCUCAUCCAUGCACCCUGUCCUGAGUGAGAGUUUGUGGGUUUCCAAUCCUAACAUCAUCCAGCAAACAGCUCUCAAUCCUCCCUGUUUCCUUGCUUUCCACCCAUUUCAUUGGCUUUCAACUUUUUCUCUUUACUUCAUUUUCCUGUCCUGGGGCUGGGACAGUAAGGAACUUUGCCAGCUACCCUUAGAUUCCUGCUUUUCUUCAUGGCUCUCCUCUGGUGUCCUUUAUGUAGGACUGGGCAAGAAGAACCAGUGGACCAGCUUUGCUAGGAUUUAUCUACCUUCUCACCUCACAGUCCCGUCUCUAGCUCAGACGCUGAGAAAUCCAUGCCUUUGUCCCCUGGUAUCAACCAUUCACAAUCAGAUGCAAACAGUGACCCCUGUUCUCAGUUCUAGGUGGGGGUGGGUGGGCAAAGAGAGUGUAGGAAGCCAGUUGUCUUGUAGAAGACCUCUGCUUCUCUCCACAGGAAUUGCCCUGCCAGCCCUUGGUGGUGUGAACAGUAGGAACAGAUGACACUGGUUUCUCAGCAUCCUGAUCUCCUGUGGUCCUGGGGCAAGUCCAGCUUCAGAGGGAGAACAGGGCAGACUGACCAUAGAGCCGUUCAGAAGCAGCUGGGCCUGGCAGAGGGCAAGUGCUCGCCAGAGCUCACCCAGCCUGAGUCCAGCAGCCUCCUCCGCCUUGGAAUGAGAGCAGGUUCUAAAUCCUCUUCUCCAUUGCUGCCUGCUCGGCUUGGGGCCCGCAGCAGAUGGUGAGGUGGGCCCCACUGGGUCUGGAGCGUGGGUUUGAGAGUGCUAAUGUUUCUCAGAUCUCCUUUGUAGAUCAUCAACUGUGACAACAGUAUAGCUUGGGCCAGGAUGUGGAAAGGCACUGCCAGGUGGCGGGAGGGGCUGCUUCUUAAUUAAGGCACCUCCCCAGCUUGCUGAUGACAGCCGUGGGUUGGAAAUAAUGUGUGCACCUGUCUAUGACCAAGAGGCUGGAAUACUCUAGGACCAUGUUCAAGUGGGGUCCAGCCCCUGCAUCAGAAUAACAGGAGAAAUGGCAUCUUUCUCUUAUUGAACAUUGCUUAUAGUUCUAUCCAACCUGGCACACUCUUAUUUCUGCCUAUCCCAUUGUUCAUGUGUCUCUGAAUAUACUUUUAAUAUACUAUAACAGGAGAAUGCUUUAACAAUUCAUCCACGCAUAACAAGCAAUAGAGAAAACUCAGAUCUAGCUUAAUCUUAAUGAACAUUCCCAGCAACUCUACAGUUGAUGCUGAUGUGAAGCCCAGUUAACAGAUGAGAAAGUUAAGGCAAGAGGCUGAAGCCAGUAGAGCUGGUCACAGGGUGAGUUGGGAUUCAAGCUUAUCAUUAGGCAAACCUGCAUCCCAAGCCUCAGUCUAUUAUGAAGAACAGGGCAGGUCUGUGAAGAUCACAGUGAAGACAAAAGAAAAUGACACAGCAGCAAUUCACAGCCCAGAAACAGUCAUUUAGUGAUGGUUCCGGGACUAUUUGCAUGCCUGUGUGAAUUGUGUUGUGUGUUAACUUCGGUCAGAUAUAACACCAAUAUAUUUGGCCAGACAUUACUGGAAAGGUUUCAGUUGUUUUUUAAAGGUGAGAAAUCAACAUUUAAAUGAGCAGAUUUGGGGGAGAGGUGAUUGAGUCUCCUCCAUGAAUAACGUGGGUGGGCCUUAUCCUAUCAGUUGAUGGCUUCAAAGCAAAAAGACAGCUCUCCCACAGGAAGAUGGAAUUCUGCUAACAGAUCACUCCUACACUCAACUGCAGCCUGCCAUGGGAUUUCAGCCUGCCAAUUUGCCCCGUAGACUAUGGGCUUAUCAAGUCUCCAUCCAUGGUCAUGUGACCUGAUUCCUUAGACUCCAUCUAUCUCUGCCUUCCUCUGUACCCCUUUCUCUUCCUCCCUCCCUCUCUACCCCUUUCCUCCCUUCUUUCUCCCCGCUCUGAUUUCUGUCUUAUUAGUUACUGUCUCUGAAGAACCUUUGCGGAUACAUUUACUAGUAAGGGAAUACUUUAAUAAUGUGUAGAUCUAACAUCAUGGCAUAAUAGGCAACUAUCAAGGAGAACUUAGAUCCGUUUUGUUUUGUUUUUAAGAAAUGGCACAUGGUUUCCUGUUUGCCUGUGUGUUUUUCUAAGAGUAGAGAGCUUGGAAGAUGCAUACAUGGAGGGGGAUGAGGAAGCAGGGGGUGUCCUUAGAACCAGGGAGGGUACUUGGGUCCUUUCUUUCUUCCUUCCUUUCUUUCUUUCUUUCUUCCUUUCUUUCUUUCUUUCUUCCUUCCUUCCUUCCUUCCUUCCUUUCUUUCUUUCUUUCUUUUAUUCUUUUUUUCGGAGCUGGGGACCGAACCAAGGGCCUUGUGCUUGCUAGGCAAGUGCUCUACCACUGAGCUAAAUCCCCAACCCCGGGUCCUUUAUUUCUUUACCAUGAGAUUUUAGGACAUAUUACUGUUGCCGUUAUAAAGAUGAUAAAGACGAUGAAUUUGAUAAGAGACUGUUGGUUGUGGAUCUUCCUUCUCCCCUCAGUUCACAUGCAGGAGGGACAGGGCAGCAGAAACUUGCCUCAGUCUCUGUUUUUUUGUGUGUUUUAUGGUAGCGCCAGAUUCCCAUGCCCUCGCCUGCUCAGACCCUGGCCAAGAGUGUUUUACGGGCAUUAGCCUCCAUCCCUGGAGGCCUGUCUGGCAUCUGGGUAACCUUAGUGGUCCAUCGGGAUAGCUAGCAGAGGGAAAGCAGGACCCCACAGCUGGAGGGCAGCAACCUGCAAGCUCUGUGCUCCUUAAGCUUGGAAAUGUCCCGCUGACUAGCCGCUGUCCUAGGUGCUGAAACGUCAAUGGUGGCUGAAUUUUCAUUUACCAUCAACUGUGACAAAAUGUUGGCAAGACAGAGCCACUUGUUUGGGAAGUUUAGGAAAACAAGAUCUGGGUCAGAAUGGCCUGAGUUUGGCAACAGGGCCAUUUUGAUAUCAUCAGGAAAAUGUCAAGCAGCUCAAACCGCUGCGUCUCCUUCCUUUCAUAGGGUCAGCUACUGACAAUUGGAAUUGACUGUUGGUUUGACUGACUCAGCUGAAUCAAUGCACCACUUGAUGUUGCUGCCAAGAGCAAUCUCUACCUCCACUUCUACAGAGGGCAGGGUCCUUACCCCCAGAGACCAUGCAGGAUGCCAAUAGGAAGCGGGAACCCCAAGCUCCUCCCCAGCCAGCUUCCUUAGAGCCCUUCGAUUCAACACACAUUUACCUGAAAGGCACUCACUGUUGGAAAUCCCAGAGGCAGACAUGCUCAGCAGCCAGAAAUGGAUGGGCAUCCCACAUUUCAGGCAAGCAGAGGAUAUUCCAUAUAGCACAAGAAAGGGGCUCUGCGUAGAACAUACCUCAGAAUGGUCCUAUGGUAAUAAUGCUGGUAUCUGAGUUCAAAUGCUUGCAUCCUUUUUAGAGUCACAGUUGGAAAAUUCUCUAGUAGUAAUAUGGGAUGGACAUUUGUUCUCUGAGACAGGCCCUAUGCCGGAAAGGUUGAGUCCCAAGCCAGAAUGGAGAUAGCCAAGGCUGAGGACAUUAGCCAUGUUCCAGGGACUCAGCCCACCACAGGCAGCUGCCAAACUUCCCAAGAAGUGUCUGGGGAAAGGCUAACCAGAGGGUGGCGACAGCAAGCUCUCUGCCGUCAUCAUCCCUGUCGUGGAUGAGUGUGUAACUUCACUUACCAGCUGAUGGUGCUGUUCCAGGAGGCUGUGGAACCUUCAGGAAGUAGAUCCUGGUUGGGGAAAAUGGGUCACAGGGGUCCAGCCUUUAAGCUUCAUGAACAGACCCAAUUCCUGUCUGUUCUCUGCUUCUUGGCUGUACAUGUGUUAUGACAUCAGUCCCGUAUCCAUGCCUUCUUCCUGUCCUGGUUAGUUUUUGUCAACUUGAUACAAGUCAGAAGGCAUCUAGGAAAAGGACACUUGACUGAGAAAAUGUCCUCAUCAGAUUGGCCUGUAGGCAAGGCUGUAGGGCACUUUCUUGACUAAGGAUUGAUGUGAGAGGGCCCAGACCAUUGAGGGGCAGUCUCACCCCUGGGCAGGUGGUUCUGGGUAGGAUAAGAAAGCAGACUAAGCAAGCCAUGGGAAGUGAGCCAGGAAGCAGCUCUCCUCAUGCCUCUGCUUCAGUCCCUGCCUCCAGGUUCCUGCCUUGAGUUCCUUUCCUGAUAUGUGAACUGAAAAGUUCAGGUAAACCUCCACAAAUUUCUUUUGGUCAGUGUGCUUUAUUGUAGCAAUUUAAAGCAAUGUAGGACACUGGCCAGCCAUGCUGGACUACGUUCCCUUCAACAAGAGUCAGAACAAACCCCUCUUCCUUUUAGCUUCUUGUUAAGUAUUUGGUCACAGAAAUAAGAAAUUCGACAAACACAGCACCCAUCCCAGAGUGUGCCUGAGGGAUGUGGCUGGGAACCCCUGGGGAUGAUCCAGUUCAGAUUGAAGCUGGGACCUACAGUGCCUAUAGAGAGAGGGUGGCGUCUGGGUGUCAGGAAGGUGAGGUCUCCGGCCCUGAUACUGUGUUGGCUAAUUUUUGUGCCACUAACAACAGAUGGUCUAGGCAAUUUCUAAAGAAAUGAAUUUAAUUCUCACAGUUCCUGAGGCUGGGAAGUCUGAGCUCAAGGUGCCAGCAGGCUUAGUGUUGGUGAGAGCUGGUUUGGACACUUCUGAGAUGGUGCCUUAAAGAUGGGUUCUCCAGAGAGAGAGAACUGUAUUUUCACAUAGUAGAAUUUUCCAGGAGAGAGACACACAGAGACAGAGAGACAGAGACAGAGACAGACAGAGAGACAGAAAGACAGAGAGACAGAAAGACAGAGAGAGUCUGAAAAUCCUUUUCUAGUGACAUUCAUGGAAGCAGAGUCCUCAGGGCCCUGGGGAUUAAGGUUUACUGUGAGUUUGGGCAGGCCACACGUUCAAACCCAGCAGGCAGCAGCUUGCCGUGAGGCUCACUGGAUGUCCACUCCAUUUCCAUAUCCACCCCACAGCCAACCUCCAUCUCCAGGAUCUUCCUGAAUGAUGAAGAGCUGAGCCCUGAGGUAGAUCCUCACUGCUUAGGACGUUUACCUGCUCCAACCUCCACACAUCGAGAUACAGGACAACACAUGUGAGCUGAUCCUCACAUCCAGCACACAACAGACUUUCCAAAAACUCUCUGACCACAAAGUUGGUGCCAGAUCACAGUGGUGAGCAGACUCAGAAGUGUGCAGACCACCAAGUGAAGUCCCCACUCCCUAACCCUGCUCUACCAUAAGCAGCCACUCACAGCGCGGGGACAUCCUGUCCUCCGUGUUUGACUGUGAGAGCUCUGUUUCAUCUUCAAUUCCGAGCUUCAGUAAUGAAUUUUAAAAUUUGAAUUCUAGAAGACAGGAUGGACUCUGAUUUCAUAUUCAGAAGGUCUUGUUUGCAGAAGAUGUAGGUCUCAGGUAGACAAGCCACAGGCACAGUGUGGAGGAGCAGCCGAGUCUGGAGAUCUACACCUUGAGUAGAGACAGAGGCUCCGAUGGUAGGAGGAUCACCACAUUUUUGUUCUCAGAGGCUUUGAGGGCUGUCCUGUACCAGACUGGAAACCACGAACAUCUGAAUUCCUCUCAGUUCACUUCAUUCUGCCUCAGCUCCGCACAGUGCUUUGACCAGCAAUGGCUGCUCACUGUUGGUUUGCCACCUGACACAAGCGGAAGUUAUCAUAGAGAAAGGAGCCUUCGUUGAGGAAAUGCCUCCGUGAGACCCAGCUGUAAGGCAUUUUCUCAACGAGUGAUCAAGGAGGAGGAUCCAGCCCAUUGUGGGUGGUGCCAUCCCUGGGUGGUGGUCCUGGGUUCUAUAAGAGAGCAAGCUGAGCAAGCCAGGGGAAGCAAGCCAGUAAGUAACAUCCCUCCAUGGCCUCUGCAUCAGCUCCUGCUCCCUGACCUGCUUGAGUUCCAGUCCUGACUUCCUUUGGUGAUGAACAGCAUGUGGAAGUGUAAGCUGAAUAAACCCUUUCCUCCCCAA